CGCCGCCCGGAUUCCCGCAAGGGAGACCGGUGUUGGGGCUUUGCGGGCCCUAGGCCCCGCAGCCCUCAAAUCCAGUGGCGGUUGACCUUAAACCCUCAGCGCAGUAACAUACCUGUCGCUUUCGGAGUCUUAGGGGAAGCCUGCCGUAAAACUUCCCGUCAGGGACCUUUACU
rnacentral:misc_RNA from 1 species